GUCGGAUUAGGUAGUUGGUGGGGUAACGGCCUACCAAGCCGACGAUCCGUAGCUGAUCUGAGAGGAUGAUCAGCCACACUGGGACUGAGACACGGCCCAGACUCCUACGGGAGGCAGCAGUGGGGAAUCUUGGACAAUGGGCGCAAGCCUGAUCCAGCCACGCCGCGUGAGUGAAGAAGGCCUUCGGGUUGUAAAGCUCUUUUGUUGGGGAAGAAAAGCAGUUGGUUAAUACCCGAUUGUUCUGACGGUACCCAAAGAAUAAGCACCGGCUAACUUCGUGCCAGCAGCCGCGGUAAUACGAAGGGUGCAAGCGUUACUCGGAAUUACUGGGCGUAAAGCGUGCGUAGGUGGUUGUUUAAGUCUGAUGUGAAAGCCCUGGGCUCAACCUGGGAAUGGCAUUGGAUACUGGAUAGCUAGAGUGCGGUAGAGGGUAGUGGAAUUCCCGGUGUAGCAGUGAAAUGCGUAGAGAUCGGGAGGAACAUCCGUGGCGAAGGCGACUGCCUGGACCAGCACUGACACUGAGGCACGAAAGCGUGGGGGGCAAACAGGAUUAGAUACCCUGGUAGUCCACGCCCUAAACGAUGCGAACUGGAUGUUGGGUUCAACUUGGAACUCAGUAUCGAAGCUAACGCGUUAAGUUCGCCGCCUGGGGAGUACGGUCGCAAGACUGAAACUCAAAGGAAUUGACGGGGGCCCG
rnacentral:rRNA from 1 species